rnacentral:rRNA from 1 species
AUUGAACGCUGGCGGAAUGCUUUACACAUGCAAGUCGAGCGGCAGCGCGGGGGCAACCCUGGCGGCGAGCGGCGAACGGGUGAGUAACACAUCGGAACGUACCCAGUCAUGGGGGAUAGCCCGGCGAAAGCCGGAUUAAUACCGCAUACGACCUGAGGGUGAAAGUGGGGGAUCGCAAGACCUCACGUGAUUGGAGCGGCCGAUGGCGGAUUAGCUAGUUGGUAGGGUAAAGGCCUACCAAGGCGACGAUCCGUAGCGGGUCUGAGAGGACGGCCCGCCACACUGGAACUGAGACACGGUCCAGACUCCUACGGGAGGCAGCAGUGGGGAAUUUUGGACAAUGGGCGAAAGCCUGAUCCAGCCAUUCCGCGUGAGUGAAGAAGGCCUUCGGGUUGUAAAGCUCUUUCGGCAGGAACGAAACGGUGGGUUCGAAUAAAGCUCACUAAUGACGGUACCUGAAGAAGAAGCACCGGCUAACUACGUGCCAGCAGCCGCCGUAA